UAAGCGGAGGAAAAGAAACCAACAGGGAUUGCCUCAGUAACGGCGAGUGAAGCGGCAACAGCUCAAAUUUGAAAUCUGGCUCUUUCAGGGUCCGAGUUGUAAUUUGUAGAAGAUGCUUUGGGUGUGGCUCCGGUCUAAGUUCCUUGGAACAGGACGUCAUAGAGGGUGAGAAUCCCGUACGUGACUGGGUGCCUUCGCUCGUGUAAAGCUCUUUCAACGAGUCGAGUUGUUUGGGAAUGCAGCUCAAAAUGGGUGGUAAAUUUCAUCUAAAGCUAAAUAUUGGCCAGAGACCGAUAGCGCACAAGUAGAGUGAUCGAAAGAUGAAAAGCACUUUGGAAAGAGAGUUAAACAGUACGUGAAAUUGUUGAAAGGGAAGCGCUUGCAACCAGACUUGCACGCUGCUGAUCAUCCGAGCUUCUGCCCGGUGCACUCGGUAGCGUUCAGGCCAGCAUCGGUUUUGGUGGGCGGAUAAAGGCCUUGGGAAUGUAGCUUCUUUCGGGGAGUGUUAUAGCCCUCGGUGCAAUGCGCCCUACCAGGACCGAGGACCGCGCUUCGGCUAGGAUGCUGGCGUAAUGGUUGUAAGCGACCCGUCUUGAACACGGA
rnacentral:rRNA from 1 species